CGUAGCUCAGCUGGAUAGAGCGUUGGUUUCCGGAACCAAAGGCCGCAGGUUCGAAUCCUGCCGG
rnacentral:tRNA from 1 species